GAUGAACGCUGGCGGCGUGCCUAAUACAUGCAAGUCGAGCGAACGGACGAGACGCUUGCUUUUCUGAUGUUAGCGGCGGACGGGUGAGUAACACGUGGAUAACCUACCUAUAAGACUGGGAUAACUUCGGGAAACCGGAGCUAAUACCGGAUAAUAUUUUGAACCGCAUGGUUCAAAAGUGAAAGACGGUCUUGCUGUCACUUAUCGAUGGAUCCGCGCUGCAUUAGCUAGUUGGUAAGGUAAAGGCUUACCAAGGCAACGAUGCAUAGCCGACCUGAGAGGGGGAUCGGCCACACUGGAACUGGGACGCGGACCAGACGCCUACGGGAGGCAGCAGUAGGGAAUCUUCCGCAAUGGGCGAAAGCCUGACGGAGCAACGCCGCGUGAGUGAUGAAGGUCUUCGGAUCGUAAAACUCUGUUAUUAGGGAAGAACAUAUGUGUAAGUAACUGUGCACAUCUUGACGGUACCUAAUCAGAAAGCCACGGCUAACUACGUG
rnacentral:rRNA from 1 species